UUCUAACAUGGUAUCAAAGCUAAGGGCGACCUAACAUUGGCAACCAAGUAGGUUUUCUGGCAACUCUUUGCUCCAGCAUCUUCUUCCCUCUCAUUCCUUCCCUUCUCUCCUCUUUAUCCACCAGCAGAGAGGCGGUAAGAGGAUAGGGUUUGGUCAUGCUGCAUGGAGGAGGACCUAAUCACGCCUAUGUGGAAUGUUUGAUCAGAUCCUCAGGUGGAUCAUGUGGAGCAGAAUUUCUUUGCUGUUCAUGGAUCUUGUUUAGCAUAUUGAAGUUCAUGGAAGCUGUUUAAGGCGUGAUCUGAUUCUGCUGUAUGUGGAUGCUGUUUAGAGUAUUGCAGCAUAGUUUAUCUGCAAUUCGUGAUGUUGUUUAAGGCGUGAUCAGAUUCUCGUGUGGUUCGUGUGGAGCAGAAUGACGAACUGCUAGUCAUAUGUGCAGUUGUAUGUGGGCCUACUAUGUUUGGAGCUGUAGCAGUCUUGGCUGUUCGUGUGGAGCAGAAUCAUGGACUGCUAGUCGCAUGUGCAGUCGUAUGUGGGCCAACUAAGAUUGGAGAUGCAGCAAUCAUCGGCUGAAACUAUAGCACGGAGUGUGAUAAUUACUAUCAGUCGUUCAAAGCAAAAGUUCCCUCAUACAAUGGGGACAAUGAGUUUUGCUUGUUUUUGUGUUGGAAAAGUGAAAGAGGGUGAGAGUGAACCGUCAUAGGCUGACAUUUUUGUGAUGACUCAUACAAGCAAGAAACAAGAUUAUCAUAAUGCAGAAACGAGUAAAAUACUUGCAAAAUAUACUUUGAGUUCGGCAUUGGCACUAUUUAAGCAUACCAACUCAAUGCUAUGUAUCAUGACCUUGGCAACUGUCCACAAGCAGUUUGCUUAUGUAAGUGUCUGGUCUAAGAUCAUUUUCACAUGUAGCAAAGAACUACAUCAUGGAGCUUUCAUUUGGAGGAGAGCUCAGGAGAAUGAGGUGGAUAAAGCAAUCCUCGUGAUACCCAAGGUAUGAAAUCGGCUUUAUGAAAUGGGCAGCAAUUAUUUUUGAAGAUAGUGAACUUGUGGGCGAAUUUGAUCUUACCUAAAAUGUCCUCAGUUGCCUCAAAUUCGUCUUGGCACUAGCAGGGAAAUAACUAAUUUCCAAGGGAAGCCUCUCCCAUCUCGCGAGGUCUUACGAGGUCAGUUAUGGGACAAUACUCAUACAAGGGAAGAAAAGCCAACCAAAGGUCUCUUACCCUUCUUUCCUCAAUAGCUUCAACCUCUGGUGGAAUGUGUAGAUAACCAUUGUCCAUCUUCAAGAACCCACCUCAAGGCAAGACAUCUUCAUAUCACUUAUGCCAUAGUUAUUAGCUAAAAAGGUUUGUUACACUAUGGCUGUUUUGAUAUCAAUUCUCCACUUUUACAGCCACUAUAGUUACAAAUAUAAUGUAGGAUUUAGCUACUCAGACUGCAUCAAGACUUUUUAGAAGAAAGGGAAAAGGGUUUGAAACCUGCUGCAU